AACUGCGGAGUAGAGACAAGAGCAGCAAGACACCGACGUCUUGAUUAGGUCACAGCUCUGAUUUGCGUAAUGCAUCGACGCACAUCUGGCUUAUAAAUAACUAAUACAGCUGUAAAAGAACACAACACAUAUCCGAUUUACUCAAAAAUAAAUCUGGGAGGUGGAUAAAUGACUCAUCGACUCACACAAAACACCAAGCUGAGGAAGAGGAGCACGGUCUUGGAGGUGAAGAUGCCGCAGUCCAUGUUGGGUGGCGGAGGUGCACAGAUGGAUGAAGGAGUGCGGAGACGCCCGGGUCCAGUUUUUAUCCCUCGGAGAACUGCGCUGACGCCGCCAGCUCCACAGCUGCUGCUUCGGUCACAAGUUUUCCUCCGGUUGUCUGACUGUGCAGAGACUGCGUGAUCACAUGGUCACAUGAUUCGGGGAGGAAGGCGAUGAACAGGGGCAGAACAGGUCUGACAGCCAGCCCCUCUCUGGCAGGUAAGAGAUCAGGCGACUUUAAAAUGAAAGACUCACAAUCAGUUGCUGCCCAGCCUGGAUGCUCCCGGAAGAAACCAAACUUCUCCUGUUGCACCUGUUCAGACUCAUUUCUGGACCUGCACAUCUGACUUAAUGUGAACUCGAGAAGGAAAACAAAUGCAGAAACCUGACAAAGCCGAAAUGAGACGUGAUCUCUGCCACAGGAACAAAUCAUCACCCUCAGUAAUCGCAACUACUUAAUGUUUUAAUGGAUCAAGUGAGCAAAGUGGAUCACAGCAGAAUAUCCACAACUUCACAUUCAUUUGAGAUGUUUUUUUUUGUUAUUCGGGGUUAUGUAAAAGGAGUUUUGUUUCAGGCACAGCAUGAAUUCCUAACUGUUCAAUAUGUUACCAUGUAAUGUUUGUUCUUUAUCAUGCUAUUGCACUUAUUGGCACAUUUCGUUCCUCCUGUGUGAUAUGGUUUGUACAAUCAGCUCUGCCUGGCUCUGGUAUGUUGUGAAAAGAAUGUGUGCAGAUCAUGAGAAGAGAAAGACGGCUGUGUAAGUGAAAUCCUGUGUCCCUCCUGUGGCUGCGAGGGAUUUCCUGUGGGGGCACUGGUUUCCUUCCUACAGGGUAUAGACAUGUAGGUUAGAUGAACUUGCGACUCUAAAACGAAUGUGAAUGUAGGAUGUUUGGCCCUGUGAUGGACUGGUGCCUGGUCCAGGGUGGCCAGCUGCCUCCAUCAUUUUGUGCUGGUUUGAAGUGACAUCUACAAAAUGUUGUUUGCCUCAAAUAAAACUGAUGUUUGUAGUUUU